rnacentral:rRNA from 1 species
UACGUAGGGUGCAAGCGUUAAUCGGAAUUACUGGGCGUAAAGCGUGCGCAGGCGGUUUUGUAAGUCUGUCGUGAAAGCCCCGGGCUUAACCUGGGAAUGGCCAUGGAAACUGGCGAACUGGAGUGUGGCAGAGGGGGGUGGAAUUCCGCGUGUAGCAGUGAAAUGCGUAGAGAUGCGGAGGAACACCGAUGGCGAAGGCAGCCCCCCUGGGCUAGCACUGACGCUCAGGCACGAAAGCGUGGGGAGCAAACAGG